rnacentral:rRNA from 1 species
CCUACGGGAGGCAGCAGUGGGGAAUAUUGCACAAUGGGGGGAACCCUGAUGCAGCGACGCCGCGUGAGUGAAGAAGUAUUUCGGUAUGUAAAGCUCUAUCAGCAGGGAAGAAAAUGACGGUACCUGACUAAGAAGCCCCGGCUAACUACGUGCCAGCAGCCGCGGUAAUACGUAGGGGGCAAGCGUUAUCCGGAUUUACUGGGUGUAAAGGGAGCGUAGACGGCAGAGCAAGUCUGAAGUGAAAGCCCGCGGCCCAACUGCGGGACUGCUUUGGAAACUGCCCGGCUAGAGUGCUGGAGAGGUAAGCGGAAUUCCUAGUGUAGCGGUGAAAUGCGUAGAUAUUAGGAGGAACACCAGUGGCGAAGGCGGCUUACUGGACAGUAACUGACGUUGAGGCUCGAAAGCGUGGGGAGCAAACAGGAUUAGAUACCCUUGUAGUC